UACAGAGGUCCCGAGCGUUGUUCGGAUUCACUGGGCGUAAAGGGUGCGUAGGUGGUGGAGUAAGUUUGAUGUGAAAUCUCCGGGCUUAACCCGGAAACUGCAUUGAAUACUAUUUUGCUGGAGGUUUGGAGGGGGGACUGGAAUUCUCGGUGUAGCAGUGAAAUGCGUAGAUAUCAAGAGGAACACCAGUGGCGAAGGCGAGUCCCUGGACAACACCUGACACUGAGGCACGAAAGCUAGGGGAGCAAACAGG
rnacentral:rRNA from 1 species